CUGGCCAAUGGGGACACGUAAUGGUGGAAUGGCGUCACGGGGCUCGUAAGCGCCAGUCCUUGAUGGAGAAGGCGGUGCCAGGGGGCGGGAAGGAGUGGAGAGUAACCAAUGGGAACCUUGUCUAGGUCGGGCCAAGCCGUUCGUAGCCAACGAAGUUCGUCGGUUUUGUAUAUGCAAAUUAGGUGUGCGCGGCCGUCCGCGCCCGCUCCUCAGCCCGCGGUGGGGAUGGGCGCUAGGAGUCGGCUGAAUUUUUCUACGAGGCGCCAUUUUGUGCGGGCACUGCCCCGUGACCCGUGUCGUGUGUCGCGGGCGGGGCAGGAGCAGGUUGCACGGCCUUGAGGGCUUGGCCGUCUGUGGCCUGUGACUCUGGCCAGGUGGCAAUCACGACGUCGGGUUUCUGUUUCCCCACACGGGAGGCGGGCGCCGGGCUCCCUCGGGAUGUGCCGGAAGGAGGUCGGGGCCUGGCGCUGCCCGCCAGUGGUCCCGUCUCCACCCUGUAGCCCCGCGGCGGUGUCCCCGUGUCCCCGACGGACCUAGCCACCCUGCAGCCCCGCGCCGGGGAAUGGUGUCCCCUUGUCCUCGCCGUGUCCCGGGCACCGGCCUCGGCCUCCCAUCCCUGCCCGCCACGCGUCCCGGGAAGACCCCUGAGCCGCCUCCCUCGUGCAUGCGGCCCGAGCUCCAGCAGCAGGGACCCCACUGUUGUCGUAAGCAGCACCCAUGGAGGAUCCGCCGCGUACUGGCGAGCCCCACCUGGCCCUCAGUCCCAGCCAGCCGGUUGCAGGGGACUCUGACCCGAGGGGCGCUCAAGGACACUGAGGGAAGAAGCAGGGGCCUCGCCCAGGUUCCCCCCACCCCCCAAGCAGAGACAAGGUCGAGGUGGUAUGGUAGUCAAGCCCGGCCCUGCUGCAAGAAUGCAUCCAAAAGACACAACCGUGCCGAUAGUGACGGUCAUGAUGCAGCCCCUGCGAGCUGCGCGCCAGGCACUGCCCUCGUUCCAUUGCAGACGGCAGCCCUGUCGGGUGGGAGCGCGAUGUGCACGCACGAAGCUUUUGGAACAGGCGGAGGGUAACAAGGGGCAAAACCCCUGGCAGCUCUCCUGGGGGUGCCAGGCAGGCAAGCAAAUAUUAUAAUGUGCUGUGGGAGUGCGAUAAAGACCGAAGGAGGGAAUAUCAGGGCCUGCGCUGGGAGGUGGGGGGAGACAGGGAGUGAUGGGGUGGGGGGAACCUUUAGAGAAAGGGAAGAGGCAGGUCUCGGGUCCAGGCCGCAGUGAACAGUGUGUUCUUUUCGAUCAAGGAGGAGCCGCGGGAGGCUCUGAGCCGAGCACGACUCCGUCUGACUUCUGGUAGAGAACAGAGAGGCCGAGGAGGAAGUGCUGACAGCCAUGGAGGUGGGGAUGAAGACCGUGCUGAGCAGACCUGCAGCCUGCAGAACCAGGAGGUGGCACAUUUCUGUUGCGUGAGCUGCUCGGUUCAGCGGCCCCAGCAAACCAACAGCACAGAGCACCCCGCUUCGGCCAGACUCAGCCAAAGGCCUCAGGUAGAAGGAGGUGCAAACACAUGCUUAAAUGCACACAGGGAAGAGGCUUUCUUUGGAAGAAACCGAGGACUUUUCAAGGUGCUGUACCGGUCCCUCCCACACCCAGCUCCUUGCUUGGUGACAGACUGGGGGGGGUGGGGGGGGCAGCCCUGACCACCGGUAUGGACUCUUAGAUGCCCACCCCCGCCUCGGCCAGUGACACAGACGCAGAGGUGGAAACCCAUUUCUUCUCGACAGUAAACCUUGAGACUGGG